CAUGCAAGUCGAACGGCAGCACGGAGCUUGCUCUGGUGGCGAGUGGCGAACGGGUGAGUAAUAUAUCGGAACGUACCCUAGAGUGGGGGAUAACGUAGCGAAAGUUACGCUAAUACCGCAUACGAUCUAAGGAUGAAAGUGGGGGAUCGCAAGACCUCAUGCUCGUGGAGCGGCCGAUAUCUGAUUAGCUAGUUGGUAGGGUAAAAGCCUACCAAGGCAUCGAUCAGUAGCUGGUCUGAGAGGACGACCAGCCACACUGGAACUGAGACACGGUCCAGACUCCUACGGGAGGCAGCAGUGGGGAAUUUUGGACAAUGGGCGAAAGCCUGAUCCAGCAAUGCCGCGUGAGUGAAGAAGGCCUUCGGGUUGUAAAGCUCUUUUGUCAGGGAAGAAACGGUGAGAGCUAAUAUCUCUUGCUAAUGACGGUACCUGAAGAAUAAGCACCGGCUAACUACGUGCCAGCAGCCGCGGUAAUACGUAGGGUGCAAGCGUUAAUCGGAAUUACUGGGCGUAAAGCGUGCGCAGGCGGUUUUGUAAGUCUGAUGUGAAAUCCCCGGGCUCAACCUGGGAAUUGCAUUGGAGACUGCAAGGCUAGAAUCUGGCAGAGGGGGGUAGAAUUCCACGUGUAGCAGUGAAAUGCGUAGAUAUGUGGAGGAACACCGAUGGCGAAGGCAGCCCCCUGGGUCAAGAUUGACGCUCAUGCACGAAAGCGUGGGGAGCAAACAGGAUUAGAUACCCUGGUAGUCCACGCCCUAAACGAUGUCUACUAGUUGUCGGGUCUUAAUUGACUUGGUAACGCAGCUAACGCGUGAAGUAGACC
rnacentral:rRNA from 1 species